UGGGGAAUAUUGCACAAUGGGCGCAAGCCUGAUGCAGCCAUGCCGCGUGUGUGAAGAAGGCCUUCGGGUUGUAAAGCACUUUCAGCGAGGAGGAAGGUGGUGAGCUUAAUACGCUCAUCAAUUGACGUUACUCGCAGAAGAAGCACCGGCUAACUCCGUGCCAGCAGCCGCGGUAAUACGGAGGGUGCAAGCGUUAAUCGGAAUUACUGGGCGUAAAGCGCACGCAGGCGGUUUGUUAAGUCAGAUGUGAAAUCCCCGGGCUCAACCUGGGAACUGCAUUUGAAACUGGCAAUGCUAGAGUCUCGUAGAGGGGGGUAGAAUUCCAGGUGUAGCGGUGAAAUGCGUAGAGAUCUGGAGGAAUACCGGUGGCGAAGGCGGCCCCCUGGACGAAGACUGACGCAUG
rnacentral:rRNA from 1 species